rnacentral:rRNA from 1 species
GUAGGGAAUAUUGGGCAAUGGAGGCAACUCUGACCCAGCCAUGCCGCGUGCAGGAUGACGGCCCUCUGGGUUGUAAACUGCUUUUAUACGGGAAGAAAAAAUACUACGUGUAGUAUACUGACGGUACCGUAAGAAUAAGGAUCGGCUAACUCCGUGCCAGCAGCCGCGGUAAUACGGAGGAUCCAAGCGUUGUCCGGAUUUAUUGGGUUUAAAGGGUGCGUAGGCGGAUCUUUAAGUCAGUGGUGAAAGCCUGCAGCUUAACUGUAGAAUUGCCAUUGAAACUGAAGAUCUUGAAUGUGGUUAAAGUAGGCGGAAUGUAUCAUGUAGCGGUGAAAUGCUUAGAUAUGAUAAAGAACACCGAUAGCGAAGGCAGCUUGCUGAACCAUUAUUGACGCUGAGGCACGAAAGCGUGGGGAGCGAACAGGAUUAGAAACCCGAGUAGUCC